rnacentral:sRNA from 1 species
UAAAAAAGCCGCUCCGGAUGGAGCGGCUGGCAGAAGUA